rnacentral:tmRNA from 1 species
GGGGGCGAACCGGGUUCGACCGUGCUAGUGAACAUUAAGUUGCGUGUCGUUGUUGGUCAGCGGGCAACGUAAAAAGCCGACUACUAAAUUCAAAUGCCGAACCAAAAUUGGCAUUGGCUGCUUGAUAAAAAGCAACCCCGAAACUAUGCUGCCGCCGAAGCGGUGUAACUUUCGGACGUAAUUUCGGACCGCUUCCGUUCACGCCAAAUACGGCGGAAGUUAAAUUCGUCUUUGGACCGUCCUCAAAAGACCGUCGCCGACAAGGGCUGGAGAGGACUAAAACUUAAAGAAUCGGACACACACGUAGACGCUUGAUCGGAUCGGUUUCGGGACGCGGGUUCAAUUCCCGCCGCCUCCA